rnacentral:rRNA from 1 species
AUUGAACGCUGGCGGCAGGCCUAACACAUGCAAGUCGAGCGCGCGCCGGACGGGUGAGUAAUGUCUGGGAAACUGCCUGUUGGAGGGGGAUAACUCCUGGAAACGGUAGCUAAUACCGCAUACCAUCAGAUGUGCCCAGAUGGGAUUAGGUAUGGGGUGGGGUAACGUCUCACCUAGGCGACGAUCCCUAGCUGGUCUGAGAGGAUGACCAGCCACACUGGAACGGAGACACGGUCCAGACUCCUACGGGAGGCAGCAGUGGGGAAUAGUGCACAAUGGGCGCAAGCCUGAUGCAGCCAUGCCGCGUGUAUGAAGAAGGCCUGCGGGUUGUAAAGCACUUUCAGCGGGGAGGCGUUACCCGCAGAAGAAGCACCGGCUAACUCCGUGCCAGCAGCCGCGGUAAUAC